CUUUGUGUCAGUCAGUGUGUUCUGCUACCUGCUGUGGUUGUUUAUGGAUGUAGCCCGCUGCAGGCCUACAAUCGUGUUUAUAGUUGUGUUGUGAGUUCAAUGUUCGAUUAUGGAGGACAGCACAGAAUCAGCAGCAGAAACGACAGUAGAGUCGGAGGAUUCAGAACUCACUAAGGCACCGCAUAGGGGUGAAGAGAUUAUGAAAGGGUUCCAGGUUAACUGGAUGGUAUUAAGAGAUGCUGACACUGGAAAAAUUCUGUGGCAAGGCUAUCAAGAUUUGUCAGUACCAGAUGUCGAACAUGAAGCACGAGUUCCAAAGAAGAUCCUAAAGUGCCGAGCAGUCUCAAGAGAAAUAAAUUUUUCAUCUGCAGAAGCAAUGGAGAAGUUUAGAUUAGAACAGAAAGUGCUAUUUAAGGGACGAUGCCUAGAAGAAUGGUUUUUUGAGUUUGGAUAUGUUAUCCCAAAUUCUACCAAUACAUGGCAGUCUAUGUUUGAAGCAGCUCCUGAGUCACAGAUGAUGCCUGCUAACGUGCUGAAUGGCAACGUGGUCAUUGAAACGAAGUUCUUUGAUGAUGAUAUGCUUGUGUCAACUUCAAAAGUUCGCCUGUACUAUGUAUGAAACGUUGUACGUCGUGAUAUUACAAAGUGUGAGAUGGAGGCUGUAGCCAAAAGUUAAUGUGCAAGUGUCUUUUAAUUGUGUCUGUACUCAACUUAACAAGUAAUCGUUAUGGUUACCAUGAGGCACUUGUUAAUGAGUUGUGGAAGAUGUGCAAAGCAACAAUUCUUCUUGAUUAUGGAUUUUAAAAAUAGACAGGUAUCAGAGAAAAGUGAACUUUCUCUUCAGAUACCGUGAUUGUAUACAUUAUAGAUAAUAGUAAGAAGAAACAUCCACUAUUUUAUAUACAUGUAUAGAUAUAUGUAUUCAGUGAUCUCUUGUAACUUCAGUGCUUGUGCUAUUUGCAAUAAUUGUAAAACUUAAAUGGUCAAGCAGAACUCUGUCCUUACAUGAGACACAAUUUGUGUUUGCAUCACUUCUCGGGGUAACAGAGGUUAGAUGCCUCUGUUGUUCAAAAGACAAAUACUGCAUAAGACAUGCUGGGGUACUAAUCCAUUGCUUGGGAUCUAUAAUGCAAGUAAUUACUCUAAAAAGUGAGGGGUGUGAACUGUUACUGAGAAUUUGUGAUUCCAGACACAAUGGUACUGCAAACUAAAACCUUAUUUCAAUGUGUUGGGAACAUCAUAAUAAAGGAUUUUAUUGUAUUUA